AUUGAACGCUGGCGGCAUGCUUUACACAUGCAAGUCGAACGGUAACAGGGUGCUUGCACCGCUGACGAGUGGCGAACGGGUGAGUAAUGCGUCGGAAUGUACCGUGUAAUGGGGGAUAGCUCGGCGAAAGCCGGAUUAAUACCGCAUACGCCCUGAGGGGGAAAGUGGGGGACCGAAAGGCCUCACGUUAUACGAGCAGCCGAUGUCUGAUUAGCUAGUUGGUGAGGUAAAGGCUCACCAAGGCGUCGAUCAGUAGCGGGUCUGAGAGGAUGAUCCGCCACACUGGGACUGAGACACGGCCCAGACUCCUACGGGAGGCAGCAGUGGGGAAUUUUGGACAAUGGGCGCAAGCCUGAUCCAGCCAUGCCGCGUGUCUGAAGAAGGCCUUCGGGUUGUAAAGGACUUUUGUCCGGGAGCAAAUCCUAGUGGUUAAUACCUACUGGGGCUGAGAGUACCGGAAGAAUAAGCACCGGCUAACUACGUG
rnacentral:rRNA from 1 species